GCAGUCGAGGGGUAACAGAGAGUGCUUGCACUUUGCUGACGACCGGCGCACGGGUGCGUAACGCGUAUGGAACCUGCCCUCGUCAGGGGAAUAGCCCAUGGAAACGUGGAUUAAUGCCCCAUAGUAUCAUAUAUCGGCAUCGUUAUAUGAUUAAAGAUUUAUCGGACGAGGAUGGCCAUGCGUGCCAUUAGCUUGUUGGUAGGGUAACGGCCUACCAAAGCUACGAUGGCUAGGGGCCCUGAGAGGGGGGUCCCCCACACUGGUACUGAGACACGGACCAGACUCCUACGGGAGGCAGCAGUGAGGAAUAUUGGACAAUGGCCGAAAGGUUGAUCCAGCCAUGCCGCGUGCGGGAUGACGGCCCUAUGGGUUGUAAACCGCUUUUACAUGGGAAGAAACCCCCCGACGUGUCGGGGGCUGACGGUACCAUGAGAAUAAGGACCGGCUAACUCCGUGCCAGCAGCCGCGGUAAUACGGAGGGUCCGAGCGUUAUCCGGAAUCAUUGGGUUUAAAGGGUCCGCAGGCGGACCUGUAAGUCAGGGGUGAAAGGCCACGGCUCAACCGUGGGACUGCCCUUGAUACUGCAGGUCUUGGGUUAUAGUGAGGUUGCCGGAACAUGUGGUGUAGCGGUGAAAUGCAUAGAUAUCACAUAGAACACCGAUCGCGAAGGCAGGUGACCAACUAUAUACUGACGCUGAUGGACGAAAGCGUGGGGAGCGAACGGGGUUAGAUACCCUGGUA
rnacentral:rRNA from 1 species